UACAGAGGUGGCAAGCGUUGUUCGGAAUUACUGGGCGUAAAGCGCACGUAGGCGGCUUGUUAAGUCGGGGGUGAAAUCCUGGAGCUCAACUCCAGAACUGCCUUCGAUACUGGCGAGCUCGAGUUCGGGAGAGGUGAGUGGAACUGCGAGUGUAGAGGUGAAAUUCGUAGAUAUUCGCAAGAACACCAGUGGCGAAGGCGGCUCACUGGCCCGAUACUGACGCUGAGGUGCGAAAGCGUGGGGAGCAAACAGG
rnacentral:rRNA from 1 species